AAUGGCCUAAUGGAUCCAUGUAAAUGAAGAUGGAGAGUAAAUAGACGUGGAAAUUUUGAAAUUGGGCUGGCACGCUAAUCAGAGGCAGACGGGAGACACCAAUCAGUCUUCCAGGACGGAGACCGGGCACAUCCAAUGGCACUUCUUAUUUCCAUUCUCCACGCUCGUAAAUCCUGUCAGCUCCCUCACACACAGACAGCGGCUGCAUUUCACGCUGUUCUCUGAGCCACAAUCAGCAGAGCCACAGUCUCUGUGGCUGGAGGAGAGGAGAGAGGGAAUGAGACAGAGGGAGAGAGAUUUAUGUUUUUUUUUUAUUCGGAUCCCCAUUAGCUGUUAAAGAAGCAGCAGCUAUUCUUCCUGGCAUCCACACAAAACAUAGGACAAAAUACAGAACACUAAUGGACUUGAGGAAAACAGCUGCAGUGCAGCAAGGCAGUUUGAUGGCACUGGGUCUGACUCCCAUCAUGGUAUUACAGUCACAUGGUAUCACUCUGCACAAAACCAAUAUCAGCAUCAACAGCACUUUGGCUAUACCGUAAACCAUUCUCUCUGCAACUCCUCUGAUUCCUCACGAGGCCAAGACUAACACAUACACACUCUACUCUACUCUGGAGUGGCACAUUUGGAGUGGCUGACCAGCGAGGAGCAGAGAAGUGUUAAUGCUGUCGGGGAGGAGAAAGGCUGAGCCCUGAGUGGUUUGUUGUCUCCCUCUGUGAAUUACACAUUCUGUUGACAGUAGAUGAGAUUCUGCCAUCUGAAGAAUUACAGCUGUACAUAGGGAUGUCAAGUGCCACUCAGCGAGGAGUCUCCACUAUGAUUGCAAUCAAUAUCGGUUAAAGUGGAGGUUAACAGCACAGUGACUGUCAGUAGUUUCAGCUGGUUGGUUAUUGGCAUCGUAUCUGUGAACUAUUGACACAAUUUCCCUUCCCACAGAUUCCCUCCGAGAGGCUCUUAGUAACUUGAAGCAGAAUAGCUGUAAAUAUAGUUGUUUCUGGGGAAUUUGUAAGGGAAAAUACAUCCAAAGCGUUCCUUAUAAUUUGGUCAAUAUAUCCCAACCACAACUGAAAUAACAAUUUCUGUAUUACUUGAAACUGUUGGUCAGUUCAGAAAGUAACCACGCCUGGCAAUUUUAUGCAGAACCACUGUGUGAAAGUCAGUUCUGGAUCUGUUCAGUUCGAUUGAACGUUUCUACAUUGUAUAAUGUCUUGUACUGAACAACACAUUUCCCCAAAACACUUUUCAACAUUCUUGAACAGACUUUGAGGUAGCUUACGUUUGCUCCAUUUGGUGGGUGUGGUGGGGUGUGGCUUGAAGCAAUGAGUGGCGUACUUGAAGCGCAGUGGUACAUUUUGAACCCACAACCCACCCCUCCCCAUUUUUCAACUGGUCAUUCAACAGCACCGUUUCCAUUUCAUUUAACCUUGCAUUACAUUUUUUCAUACUGAACGCAGCCCUGGUGACUUUUUUACUCCAGAAUGUAUGGUGGUACCAUUCAAAUAUAAUUUUCCCCUCCAAAAAAUGUUCCUAACUGAUUUAGUUUAGUAGCUAUAACUAAAUAGGCUGAAGCAUCGGGUUGCCCAUCUGUAUUUGUGCUAAUCAUUAGCUAGACCA